rnacentral:misc_RNA from 1 species
AGCAGCCGCGGUAAUUCCAGCUCCAAUAGCGUAUAUUAAAGUUGUUGCAGUUAAAAAGCUCGUAGUUGAAUUUCGGGAUCAAUAUGUUGGUCGUGCCUCGGUACGUACUAGCUUAUUGGUUUCUCCUUUCUGAAGAACCAUGAUGUCAUUUAUUUGGUGUCGUGGGGAAUCAGGACUGUUACUUUGAAAAAAUUAGAGUGUUUAAAGCAGGCUCACGCUUGAAUACAUUAGCAUGGAAUAAUGAAAUAGGACGUUUGAUUCUAUUUUGUUGGUUUCUAGGAUCGACGUAAUGAUUAAUAGGGAUAGUUGGGGGCAUUAGUAUUCAAUUGUCAGAGGUGAAAUUCUUGGAUUUAUUGAAGACUAACUACUGCGAAAGCAUUUGCCAAGGAUGUUUUCAUUAAUCAAGAACGAAAGUUAGGGGAUCGAAGACGAUCAGAUACCGUCGUAGUCUUAACCAUAAACUAUGCCGACUAGGGAUCGGAUGAUGUUGAUUUUUUAAUGACUCAUUCGGCGCCUUACG